AGUGAACGCUGGCGGUAGGCCUAACACAUGCAAGUCGAACGGCAGCACAGUAAGAGCUUGCCCUUACGGGUGGCGAGUGGCGGACGGGUGAGGAAUACAUCGGAAUCUACUUUUUCGUGGGGGAUAGCGUAGGGAAACUUACGCUAAUACCGCAUACGACCUACGGGUGAAAGCAGGGGAUCUUCGGACCUUGCGCGAUUGAAUGAGCCGAUGUCGGAUUAGCUAGUUGGCGGGGUAAAGGCCCACCAAGGCGACGAUCCGUAGCUGGUCUGAGAGGAUGAUCAGCCACACUGGAACUGAGACACGGUCCAGACUCCUACGGGAGGCAGCAGUGGGGAAUAUUGGACAAUGGGCGCAAGCCUGAUCCAGCCAUACCGCGUGGGUGAAGAAGGCCUUCGGGUUGUAAAGCCCUUUUGUUGGGAAAGAAAAGCAGCAGGUUAAUACCCCGCUGUUCUGACGGUACCCAAAGAAUAAGCACCGGCUAACUUCGUG
rnacentral:rRNA from 1 species